rnacentral:misc_RNA from 1 species
GAUGAAGAACGCAGCGAAAUGCGAUAAGUAAUGCGAAUUGCAGAAUUUCCGUGAGUCAUCGAAUCUUUGAACGCACAUUGCGCCCUCUGGUAUUCCGGGGGGCAUGCCUGUUCGAGCGUCAUUAUAACCACUCAAGCUCUCGCUUGGUAUUGGGGCUCGCGGUUCCGCGGCCCCUAAAAUCAGUGGCGGUGCCUGUCGGCUCUACGCGUAGUAAUACUCCUCGCGAUUGAGUCCGGUAGGUCUACUUGCCAGCAACCCCCAAUUUUUACAGGUUGACCUCGGAUCAGGUAGGGAUACCCGCUGAACUUAAGCAUAUCAAUAAGCGGAGGA